AAUAGAUACCCUGGUAGUCCACCCCGUAAACGUUGGAAACUAGUUGUGGGGUCCAUUCCACGGAUUCCGUGACGCAGCUAACGCAUUAAGUUCCCCGCCUGGGGAGUACGGCCGCAAGGCUAAAACUCAAAGGAAUUGACGGGGACCCGCACAAGCGGCGGAGCAUGCGGAUUAAUUCGAUGCAACGCGAAGAACCUUACCAAGGCUUGACAUACACGAGAACGGGCCAGAAAUGGUCAACUCUUUGGACACUCGUGAACAGGUGGUGCAUGGUUGUCGUCAGCUCGUGUCGUGAGAUGUUGGGUUAAGUCCCGCAACGAGCGCAACCCUCGUUCUAUGUUGCCAGCACGUAAUGGGGGAACUCAUGGGAUACUGCCGGGGUCAACUCGGAGGAAGGUGGGGAUGACGUCAAAUCAUCAUGCCCCUUAUGUCUUGGGCUUCACGCAUGCUACAAUGGCCGGUACAAAGGGCUGCAAUACCGUGAGGUGGAGCGAAUCCCAAAAAGCCGGUCCCAGUUCGGAUUGAGGUCUGCAACUCGACCUC
rnacentral:rRNA from 1 species